UACGUAGGGGGCAAGCGUUGUCCGGAUUUAUUGGGCGUAAAGAGCGUGUAGGCGGCUUGGUAGGUCUCGCGUCAAAACCUGAGGCUCAACCUCAGUUCGCGUGGGAAACCACCUAGCUAGAGUCCGGAAGAGGAGAACGGAAUUCCCAGUGUAGCGGUGAAAUGCGCAGAUAUUGGGAAGAACACCAGUGGCGAAGGUGGUUCUCUGGGACGAUACUGACGCUGAGACGCGAAAGCGUGGGGAGCGAACGAGG
rnacentral:rRNA from 1 species